rnacentral:rRNA from 1 species
GAGUUUGAUUCUGGCUCAGGACGAACGCUGGCGGCGUGCCUAAUGCAUGCAAGUCGAACGCAGCAGCUUCGGCUGGCUGCGUGGCGAACGGCUGAGGAACACGUGGGUGACCUGCCCCAGAGUGGGGGAUACCCCGUCGAAAGACGGGAUAAUCCCGCAUACGCUCUACGGAGGAAAGCCCCUACGGGCGCNNNGGGAGGGGCCUGCGGCCCAUCAGGUUGUUGGUGUGGUAACGGCGCACCAAGCCACUGACGGGUACCCGGUCUGAGAGAACGGCCGGGCAGACUGGGACUGCGACACGGCCCAGACUCCUACGGGAGGCAGCAGCAAGGAAUUCUCCCCAAUGGGCGUAAGCCUGAGGGAGCAACGCCGCGUGGAGGACGACGGCCUUCGGGUUGUAAACUCCUUUCGGGUGGGACGACAGCGACGGUACCACCAGAAGCAGCCCCGGCUAACUCUGUGCCAGCAGCCGCGGUAAGACAGAGGGGGCAAGCGUUGUCCGGAGUUACUGGGCGUAAAGGGCGCGGAGGCGGUCUGCGGCGUCGGCGCUGAAAGCGCCCCGC